rnacentral:rRNA from 1 species
UACAGAGGGGGCAAGCGUUAUUCGGAAUUAUUGGGCGUAAAGGGCGCGUAGGCGGCCUGGCAAGUGGAAGGUGAAAUCCCUCGGCUUAACCGAGGAACUGCCUUCCAAACUGCUUGGCUUGAGUCCGGGAGAGGUGAGUGGAAUUCCCAGUGUAGCGGUGAAAUGCGUAAUAUUGGGAGGAACACCAGUGGCGAAGGCGGCUC